GACGAACGCUGGCGGCGUGCCUAAUACAUGCAAGUAGAACGCACAGUUUAUACCGUAGCUUGCUACACCAUAGACUGUGAGUUGCGAACGGGUGAGUAACGCGUAGGUAACCUGCCUGGUAGCGGGGGAUAACUAUUGGAAACGAUAGCUAAUACCGCAUAAUAUUGAUUAUUGCAUGAUAAUUGAUUGAAAGAUGCUAUUGCAUCACUACCAGAUGGACCUGCGUUGUAUUAGCUAGUAGGGGAGGUAACGGCUCACCUAGGCGACGAUACAUAGCCGACCUGAGGGGGGUGUUCGCCACACUGGGACUGAGACCCGGCCCAGACUCCUACGGGAGGCAGCAGUAGGGAAUCUUCGGCAAUUGACGAAAGUCUGACCGGGCAACGCCGCGUGAGUGAAGAAGGUUUUCGGAUCGUAAAGCUCUGUUGUAAGAGAAGAACGGGUGUGAGAGUGGAAAGUUCACACUGUGACGGUAUCUUACCAGAAAGGGACGGCUAACUACGUG
rnacentral:rRNA from 1 species